CACCACAACCAGUGCAGAUGUUCCUCAUCUUUGAAUGCCCCUGUCGAUCCUAUUCUUCAAGAGUUAUGCAUGAAGAGAAGCUGGAAAAUAGUGAAAAACAUAGUUCUUCCCAGUCAUUAGUUAUUCGGUACAGAUAUACAUGAAGAGAAGCUGGAAUUCGUUCCCAGUCAUUAGUUAUUUCUCUGCAAAUAAUGCUGUAGGCAUUGGCAAUAUCAACAAUGAGAACUCUGCAACAAAUUCAAAGAAUUUGAAAGUGAAGGUUUAUUGUCGUGUUGCAGAACGUGGCCUUUAUCUUUUAUCUGAAGGACAGUCAUAUUAUGGAUUUGACAAUGUAUAAUGUCAAUAUUCUUCUUAUUUUUCAUUACGGCUCAUGCUAAUGAUCCAGACUGGAGAUGGAACCAACCAUUUAGCAUUUUAAGGUUGUUUUUCCCGCCAUGUUAUUUCGAAAAUGGUUGUUUAUUCCGAGUACUUGCAUUAUUAUAAUGUAUUGGUAUAAAGUGGUGAGGUGUGGGAGGAGUAGCGAUAAUCAAGCUUUGGAGAGGACAUCAAGAGUUGAACCAUAUGGUGUGUCUGCACAACACCCAUUGAAGCUUUCUCUUCCGUUCAGACUUCAUAUGCUACCUGCCAAGUUUAGCCACAGGCUCGCAUUGGAUAUGUGAUUUUUUGUUACAAUUUCCCUUUGUUGAUAUGGAAGCAAAUGAGUGAAGUAUUUAACCGUCACCGGAAGCUUGAUCGUCAUGCUGAUAGUCUGUCAGAUGUGUCAAUCAGACAUACAUUUUAGUUCGUGGAGCCGUCUCCUCAGUCCAGCUCAACUUGAGAGAAUGGGUUCAUGAUAUACUUUUUCUUAUGCACCUAGGAUUAUAUGCAGAUUGGAUUCUAUAUGUUUAUUCAUUAAUACUUAUCCUAAAAGUAUGACCCAUCCAGGUUUAAGGGGCAUUGGCACACCAUUGACAUCUCAUGGCAGAGCAAUGCUAUGCAUCCACUGGUUAUAGAGAGAUCUGAGGUUGUGACUUCCUUACCCUAGCAUUACAUUUCUUUUAGUUGUCUUGCGAUUUAGUACUUCAUUUUGGU